rnacentral:lncRNA from 1 species
GACGACAGGCAACCUUGGUGCAUUGGAGCUCGAUCCGAGAAAGAACAAAACUCUACAGUAUUCGCGAGGACUGGAGUGAGGCUUGACAGUUAAGUAAUCUGCAGCUGGUCGUGAAGGAAGUUUUGGGAAACAUCCCAUUUUGUUAUAAGGCAGCUUGGAGUCUGUCAAAGAGUGGAAGGAUGCGCAGCAUGGUCAGCGCGCCUUCUGCGUGUGCAAUGCUUCCGUCUGCACCCUCGCACAGCAGG